rnacentral:rRNA from 1 species
GAUGAACGCUGGCGGCGUGCCUAAUACAUGCAAGUCGAGCGAACGUACGAGAAGCUUGCUUCUCUGAUGUUAGCGGCGGACGGGUGAGUAACACGUGGAUAACCUACCUAUAAGACUGGGAUAACUUCGGGAAACCGGAGCUAAUACCGGAUAAUAUUUUGAACCGCAUGGUUCAAAGGUGAAAGACGGUCUUGCUGUCACUUAUAGAUGGAUCCGCGCUGCAUUAGCUAGUUGGUAAGGUAACGGCUUACCAAGGCAACGAUGCAUAGCCGACCUGAGAGGGUGAUCGGCCACACUGGAACUGAGACACGGUCCAGACUCCUACGGGAGGCAGCAGUAGGGAAUCUUCCGCAAUGGGCGAAAGCCUGACGGAGCAACGCCGCGUGAGUGAUGAAUGUCUUCGGAUCGUAAAACUCUGUUAUUAGGGAAGAACAUAUGUGUAAGUAACUGUGCACAUCUUGACGGUACCUAAUCAGAAAGCCACGGCUAACUACGUG